rnacentral:rRNA from 1 species
UAAUACAGAGGGUGCGAGCGUUGUCCGGAAUCACUGGGCGUAAAGGGCGCGUAGGUGGCCUGGUAAGUAGGGGGUGAAAUCUCGAGGCUCAACUUCGAGGCUGCCUCCUAAACUGUCAGGCUUGAGCAGAGUAGAGGCAGGUGGAAUUCCCGGUGUAGCGGUGGAAUGCGUAGAGAUCGGGAAGAACAUCGGUGGCGAAGGCGGCCUGCUGGGCUCUUGCUGACACUGAGGCGCGACAGCGUGGGGAGCAAACAGGAUUAGAUACCCUGGUAGUCCACGCCGUAAACGAUGGGUACUAGGCGCCGGGGGGAGCGACCCCUUCGGUGCCGUCGCUAACGCAAUAAGUACCCCGCCUGGGGAGUACGGCCGCAAGGCUG